rnacentral:rRNA from 1 species
CUUGGUCAUUUAGAGGAAGUAAAAGUCGUAACAAGGUUUCCGUAGGUGAACCUGCGGAAGGAUCAUUACCGAGUUAGGGUCUUAUAGGCCCGACCUCCAACCCUUUGUUUACUACACCAUGUUGCUUUGGCGGGCCCGCCUUUUGGGGCCGCCGGGGGUUUACAAGCCCCUGGUCAGUGUUCGCCAGUAGCCUUAUUAAAUUCUUUUAUAAUUAUGUCGUCUGAGUAUAAAUAUAAAUCGUUAAAACUUUCAACAACGGAUCUCUUGGUUCUGGCAUCGAUGAAGAACGCAGCGAAAUGCGAUAAGUAAUGCGAAUUGCAGAAUUCAGUGAGUCAUCGAAUCUUUGAACGCAUAUUGCGCCCUUUGGCAUUCCGAAGGGCAUGCCUGUUCGAGCGUCAUUAUCAACCAUCAAGCCUGGCUUGUCGUUGGACCUCUUUUACCGCUGAAAUAUGUGGUAGGUCCGAAAGAUAAUGACGGCGUCGUGUUUGACCCUAGAUGCAACGAGCUUUUUAUAGCACGCAUUGAAGUGGUCGGCCGACCCGGUCUUUAACCAUUAUUUUCUAAGGUUGACCUCGGAUCAGGUAGGAAUACCCGCUGAACUUAAGCAUAUCAAUAAGCGGAGGA